rnacentral:rRNA from 1 species
CAGAAGCAGCAAAAAGGCACACACCAACAAACCAACAAAGGGAACAAAACCGAGAACACAACCCCCAAACCCCAACGUGAACGUUACCAAUCUGUUGCCUCGGCGGGAUUCUCUUGCCCCGGGCGCGUCGCAGCCCCGGAUCCCAUGGCGCCCGCCGGAGGACCAACUCCAAACUCUUUUUUUCUCUCCGUCGCGGCUCUUGUUGUGGUUUUGUUUUAUUUUUGUUUUGAGCCUUUCUCGGCGACCCUAGCGGGCGUCUCGAAAAUGAAUCAAAACUUUCAACAACGGAUCUCUUGGUUCUGGCAUCGAUGAAGAACGCAGCGAAAUGCGAUAAGUAAUGUGAAUUGCAGAAUUCAGUGAAUCAUCGAAUCUUUGAACGCACAUUGCGCCCGCCAGUAUUCUGGCGGGCAUGCCUGUCCGAGCGUCAUUUCAACCCUCGAACCCCUCCGGGGGGUCGGCGUUGGGGAUCGGCCCCUCCCCGGGCCGCCCCCGCCCUCCCGUGGCGGUCUCGCCGCCGCCUCUCCUGCGCCGUCGUUUGCAAAAUAGAAAAGGGAGAGAGGAGAGGCCACAGCCGUAAAACACCCCAAACUUCUGAAAUGUUGACCUCGGGUCGGGUAGGAAGACCCGCGGAACUUUUGCUUUUCUUUUUGCG